rnacentral:rRNA from 1 species
GUAGGUGGCGAGCGUUAUCCGGAAUCAUUGGGCGUAAAGAGGGAGCAGGCGGCAGUGCAGGUCUGCGGUGAAAGCCCGAAGCUAAACUUCGGUAAGCCGUGGAAACCGCACAGCUAGAGAGCAUCAGAGGAUCGCGGAAUUCCAUGUGUAGCGGUGAAAUGCGUAGAUAUACGGAGGAACACCAGUGGCGAAGGCGGCGGUCUGGGGUGCAGCUGACGCUCAGUCCCGAGAGUGUGGGGAGCAAAUAGGAUUAGAUACCCUAGUAGUCCACGCCGUAAACGAUGAGUGCUAAGUGUUGGGGGUCAGACCUCAGUGCUGCAGUUAACGCAAUAAGCACUCCGCCUGAGUAGUACGUUCGCAAGAAUG